CCCGUUACAAGGAGUGUCUACAUGAAAAGCUCAUCUCAGAUGCAUUUUGCCUUAGCCCAGGUUAUAGCGAAGUCAGUGACCCAUACAGAACAGCCUUUCUGAACCAGUCCUCCCAGCUCUACCCACCCAGCCCCACCUUUAAACAAGUCUCCUGGAGCCAUGUCCCUGGUACUUUCGGCUCACAUGUUCUCUCUCUGUGUCCACCAGCACUUACA